CACGGGGGGCCUACGGGAGGCAGCAGUGGGGAAUCUUGGACAAUGGGCGCAAGCCUGAUCCAGCCAUGCCGCGUGAGUGAUGAAGGCCUUAGGGUCGUAAAGCUCUUUCGCCAGAGAUGAUAAUGACAGUAUCUGGUAAAGAAACCCCGGCUAACUCCGUGCCAGCAGCCGCGGUAAUACGGAGGGGGUUAGCGUUGUUCGGAAUUACUGGGCGUAAAGCGCGCGUAGGCGGGCUAGUAAGUUAGAGGUGAAAUCCCGGGGCUCAACCCCGGAACUGCCUUUAAUACUGCUAGUCUUGAGUUCGAGAGAGGUGAGUGGAAUUCCGAGUGUAGAGGUGAAAUUCGUAGAUAUUCGGAGGAACACCAGUGGCGAAGGCGGCUCACUGGCUCGAUACUGACGCUGAGGUGCGAAAGUGUGGGGAGCAAACAGGAUUAGAUACCCUGGUAGUCCACACCGUAAACGAUGAAUGCCAGUCGUCGGGUAGCAUGCUAUUCGGUGACACACCUAACGGAUUAAGCAU
rnacentral:rRNA from 1 species